rnacentral:rRNA from 1 species
AGUGAGCGCUGGCGGUAGGCCUAACACAUGCAAGUCGAACGGCAGCACAGUAAGAGCUUGCUCUUACGGGUGGCGAGUGGCGGACGGGUGAGGAAUACAUCGGAAUCUACUUUUUCGUGGGGGAUAACGUAGGGAAACUUACGCUAAUACCGCAUACGACCUACGGGUGAAAGCAGGGGAUCUUCGGACCUUGCGCGAUUGAAUGAGCCGAUGUCGGAUUAGCUAGUUGGCGGGGUAAAGGCCCACCAAGGCGACGAUCCGUAGCUGGUCUGAGAGGAUGAUCAGCCACACUGGAACUGAGACACGGUCCAGACUCCUACGGAAGGCAGCAGUGGGGAAUAUUGGACAAUGGGCGCAAGCCUGAUCCAGCCAUACCGCGUGGGUGAAGAAGGCCUUCGGGUUGUAAAGCCCUUUUGUUGGGAAAGAAAAGCAGCAGGUUAAUACCCCGCUGUUCUGACGGUACCCAAAGAAUAAGCACCGGCUAACUUCGUG